rnacentral:rRNA from 1 species
GACGGAGGGCGCUAGCGUUGUUCGGAAUCACUGGGCGUAAAGGGCGCGUAGGCGGCCAUGUAAGUCGGGGGUGAAAGCCCGGGGCUCAACCCCGGAACGGCCUUCGAGACUGCGUGGCUGGAGACAGGAAGAGGAGGGUGGAAUACCCAGUGUAGAGGUGAAAUUCGUAGAUAUUGGGUGGAACACCAGUGGCGAAAGCGGCUCUCUGGUCCGGAUAUGACCCUGAGGCGCGAAAGCGUGGGGAGCAAACAGG